rnacentral:rRNA from 1 species
UACAGAGGUGGCGAGCGUUAUUCGGAAUUAUUGGGCGUAAAGGGCGCGUAGGCGGCUUGACAAGUCCCGGGUGAAAUCCCUCGGCUCAACCGAGGAACUGCCUUGGAAACUGUCUGGCUUGAGGCCGGGAGAGGGUAGUGGAAUUCCCAGUGUAGCGGUGAAAUGCGUAGAUACUGGGAGGAACACCGGUGGCGAAGGCGGCUACCUGGACCAACACUGACGCUGAGGAGCGAAAGCCAGGGGAGCAAACGGG